rnacentral:rRNA from 1 species
AGUCGAACGAGAAAGGGUAGCAAUACCUGAGUAAAGUGGCGCACGGGUGAGUAACACGUGACUAACCUACCCUGGAGUGGGGGAUAACUGAGGGAAACCUUAGCUAAUACCGCAUAACACCUACGGGUCAAAGGAGCAAUUCGCUUCAGGAGGGGGUCGCGGCCGAUUAGUUAGUUGGCGGGGUAAUGGCCCACCAAGACGAUGAUCGGUAUCCGGCCUGAGAGGGCGCACGGACACACUGGAACUGAAACACGGUCCAGACUCCUACGGGAGGCAGCAGUGGGGAAUUUUGCGCAAUGGGGGAAACCCUGACGCAGCAACGCCGCGUGGAGGAUGAAGUCCUUCGGGACGUAAACUCCUUUCGAUCGGGACGAUUAUGACGGUACCGGAAGAAGAAGCCCCGGCUAACUUCGUGCCAGCAGCCGCGGUAAUACGAGGGGGGCGAGCGUUGUUCGGAAUUAUUGGGCGUAAAGGGUGCGUAGGCGGUUUGGUAAGUCUGAUGUGAAAUCUAUGGGCUCAACUCAUAGUCUGCAUCGGAAACUGCCGGGCUUGAGUAUGGGAGAGGUGAGUGGAAUUCCUGGUGUAGCGGUGAAAUGCGUAGAUAUCAGGAGGAACACCUGUGGCGAAAGCGGCUCACUGGACCAUAACUGACGCUGAUGCACGAAAGCUAGGGGAGCAAACAGGAUUAGAUACCCUGGUAGUCCUAGCCCUAAACGAUGACUGCUUGGUGUGACGGGUACCCAAUCCCGCCGUGCCGUAGCUAACGCGUUAAGCAGU